UUGAAGUGUCUACCUUUGUGGGUCUUCUUU
rnacentral:piRNA from 1 species